rnacentral:tRNA from 1 species
ACGCUCGUAGCUCAGGGGAUAGAGCAACGGACUUCUAAUCCGUGUGUCGGAGGUUCGAAUCCUCCCGGGCGUGCCA